GUAGGUGGCAAGCGUUGUCCGGAAUUAUUGGGCGUAAAGCGCGCGCAGGCGGUCCUUUAAGUCUGAUGUGAAAGCCCACGGCUCAACCGUGGAGGGUCAUUGGAAACUGGGGGACUUGAGUACAGAAGAGGAAAGCGGAAAUCCAAGUGUAGCGGUGAAAUGCGUAGAGAUUUGGAGGAACACCAGUGGCGAAGGCGGCUUUCUGGUCUGUAACUGACGCUGAGGCGCGAAAGCGUGGGGAGCAAACAGGGAUUAGAUACCCUGGUAGUCCACGCCGUAAACGAUGAGUGCUAAGUGUUAGGGGGUUUCCCGCCCCUUAGUGCUGCAGCUAACGCAUUAAGCACUCCGCCUGGGGAGUACGGCCGCAAGGCUG
rnacentral:rRNA from 1 species